rnacentral:lncRNA from 1 species
GCCAUGCAGGACUUGACCAUGGCCUGCACACACUUCUUCCCAGGAGAAGGGGAAUGAGGAAAGUGGGGGGCCUCAAAGCUUCCUUUCCUUUCUGUUUGUCUUGCUAUGUUUUUAUAUUCCUUUUUAUCCAUUUAAUUAUUUAGUACAAAAUCAGGUCCAGUCUCCUUAGAUAUGGCAUUGAUAUAAAGUGUAAAAUGGAAGCUAAAUUCUAGGAGUACAGCAUUGCAUGCUUCUGACAGAGACAAGGAAGGCUAGAAUCACACAGUUAGUGGACACUGCAACUAUAUUGACAUUUUUUUUUUUUUAGACUGUGAAGGUGGGGACAGAUUGCUGCACUCAGAACACCUUCCCUGCUCUGGGGAAACAAACACUGUCAUCAUGGGGAAAAUGUUUCCUGUAGACCCACACAAGCACACACCCCUCCUCCUACAUCCAGCUUCUCCUCAGCCAUUUUGAAGCAGGGAAGAUCAGGGGGAUUCAUGAAUGGCGAAAUUUGGCCUUUUUUAGUGUAUUUCUCUCCUUCUGUAGGCAGACUGGCAUCACCUGACCCUUCAGAGUAUUAACUCAGACCCUGGUGACUGAGGUCCAGUACCAAGUGCUCAGCUGGGCUGCGGUGCAGGGACAGGAAGCAGAAGGGCAGAUUCAACCCCCCUCAGCUGGCCAUGCUAAUCUACUAGCUGGUGUCCUAGGGCAGCAAGGCGCCUCCCUCUCCAGGAUCUGAUGAGAAAACACUGCAGUUCCAGUUUCUUUCGGGGCUUGAAGAGAAGUCAAGGAAGCCCUGCAAGGCACUCACAGCUGAUCAUGCUUUCUGUAAUCGCCCUCCAUCUUCCUUCAUUGCUAGGAAUCAUUGGAAGGACAACAGCGGAGCUGUGAGUUUUGAAACCGCGUCCUCAUGGGGGCAGUAGAGGUCCACACAAGAGCUUAACUGGCCCCUGGGAUUUGCUGCUCAGAACCUGAGUUCACUGAGACAUCAGGAGCAAGUACUGGAGGCCGGUGCUGCUGGACCCAGAUGGGAGCCAUGCGGGACUUGACCAUGGCCUGCACACACUUCUUCCCAGGAGAAGGGGAGUGAGGAAGAACCGGCCCCUGGGAUUUGCUGCUCAGGACCCGAGUUCACUGAGACAUCAGGAGCAAGCACUGGAGGCCGGGUGCUGCUGGACCCAGAUGGGAGCCAUGCAGGACUUGACCAUGGCCUGCACACACUUCUUCCCAGGAGAAGGGGAAUGAGGAAGAAAGGCUCAUGGCGUCUAUGUCGUAAAUGAGCUGUGGAUUUGCUAUGCCCCUUCUCUUCAGCAACCCUUAUUUUUCUUGCCUGUACAUCUCUACUGUGGGAAUCACAGGGAAGCUGCUGCAGCACAACUUGAAAUAGAAAGCUGGAUGGUAUGAAUUUAGGACAAGAACAUGAGAAGAAGGGCUCCAGAGAGGAUUCAUUAAGAGCAUUUUCUGCUCUUCCAGAAGCAUCCGAGUUUGGUGUGGGCACCCAAGUCAUUAGGCUCAGAGCUGCUUGGUCUGGAUCCCCUAGGGUUGCCACCAGGAUCACCAGAAAGUUUGUUAAAUAGAGAAGCACUUGAUAGAAGGCACCUGGAUAAGGAUGGACAGAAAUCAGAGGCCUUGGCUAUCUGGAUUCUGACUUCUUCAAAAAGAUGAGAUGAUAGAUGAGAGUGGGUGCCUUAGAUCUCACUUCCUUUUCUUUAACAUAUUUUUGUUGCUGGGAUGAGAUUCUAGCCAUUCCUAAUAUAAAUACUAUUGAAAGC